GGGAAAUGAGGAAUGGUAAAACUUCGCUAAUGCAAGAAGAGCGUUCUGCCCAAAGCUACAUUACAACAAUUUGACGCUCUCAUUUCUUACACCAUCUGAUCCC
rfam:Eutrema salsugineum unplaced genomic scaffold scaffold_5, whole genome shotgun sequence.